rnacentral:rRNA from 1 species
AUUGAACGCUGGCGGCAGGCCUAACACAUGCAAGUCGAAUGGUAACAGGAAACAGCUUGCUGUUUCGCUGACGAGUGGCGGACGGGUGAGUAAUGUCUGGGAAACUGCCUGAUGGAGGGGGAUAACUACUUGAAACGGUAGCUAAUACCGCAUAACGUCGCAAGAACAAAGAGGGGGACCUUCGGGCCUCUUGCCAUCAGAUGUGCCCAGAUGGGAUUAGCUAGUAGGUGGGGUAACGGCUCACCUAGGCGACGAUCCCUAGCUGGUCUGAGAGGAUGACCAGCCACACUGGAACUGAGACACGGUCCAGACUCCUACGGGAGGCAGCAGUGGGGAAUAUUGCACAAUGGGCGCAAGCCUGAUGCAGCCAUGCCGCGUGUAUGAAGAAGGCCUUCGGGUUGUAAAGUACUUUCAGCGGGGAGGAAGGGAGUAAAGUUAAUACCUUUGCUCAUUGACGUUACCCGCAGAAGAAGCACCGGCUAACUCCGUG